rnacentral:rRNA from 1 species
UCGGGAAUUUUGGGCAAUGGGCGAAAGCCUGACCCAGCAACGCCGCGUGAAGGAUGAAGUAUUUCGGUAUGUAAACUUCGUAAGAAUAGGAAGAAUAAAUGACGGUACUAUUUGUAAGGUCCGGCUAACUACGUGCCAGCAGCCGCGGUAAUACGUAGGGACCAAGCGUUGUUCGGAUUUACUGGGCGUAAAGGGCGCGUAGGCGGUGUGUCAAGUCAGUUGUGAAAUCUCCGAGCUUAACUCGGAACGGUCAACUGAUACUGUCACACUAGAGUACAGAAGGGGCAAUCGGAAUUCUUGGUGUAGCGGUGAAAUGCGUAGAUAUCAAGAGGAACACCUGAGGCGAAGGCGGGUUGCUGGGCUGAUACUGACGCUGAGGCGCGAAAGCUAGGGUAGCAAACGGGAUUAGAUACCCCUGUAGUCCCUGAGCGGGCUGGCAAGGCGCAU